GAUGAACGCUGGCGGCGUGCUUAACACAUGCAAGUCGAACGGAAAGGCCCAGGCUUGCUUGGGUACUCGAGUGGCGAACGGGUGAGUAACACGUGGGUGAUCUGCCCUGCACUUCGGGAUAAGCCUGGGAAACUGGGUCUAAUACCGGAUAGGACCACAUUUUGGAUGGUGUGGUGGAAAGUUUUUCGGUGUGGGAUGAGCUCGCGGCCUAUCAGCUUGUUGGUGGGGUAAUGGCCUACCAAGGCGUCGACGGGUAGCCGGCCUGAGAGGGUGUACGGCCACAUUGGGACUGGGAUACGGCCCAGACUCCUACGGGAGGCAGCAGUGGGGAAUAUUGCACAAUGGGGGCAAGCCUGAUGCAGCGACGCCGCGGGGGGGAUGACGGCCUUCGGGUUGUAAACUCCUUUCGCUAGGGACGAAGCGUUAUGUGACGGUACCUGGAGAAGAAGCACCGGCUAACUACGUG
rnacentral:rRNA from 1 species